GACAGAGGGUGCAAACGUUGUUCGGAAUUACUGGGCGUAAAGCGCGUGUAGGCGGCUAUGUAAGUCGGGCGUGAAAUCCCACGGCUCAACCGUGGAAGUGCACCCGAAACUGCGUAGCUAGAGUCCUGGAGAGGAAGGUGGAAUGCUUGGUGUAGAGGUGAAAUUCGUAGAUAUCAAGCGGAACACCGGUGGCGAAGGCGGCCUUCUGGACAGUGACUGACGCUGAGACGGCGAAAGCGUGGGGAGCAAACAGG
rnacentral:rRNA from 1 species